UAUAGUAAUAGCUACUUGCAUCGUAUGAUGCAAGAUCGACUAUGUCGAAUAAAAUUCUAGGUAGAAUUAUGAUAAUGACAUUGUCUGCCUAUGUGUCUUGACCAAAUUACGUGCCAGCAGUCGCGGUAAUACGUAGAAGACUAGUGUUAUUCAUGUUUAAUCGGUUUAAAGGGUACCUAGACGGUAAAUCAAGCUUUCCAAUAAAUAAAGUUAAAGGACUAAUUUACUAGAGUUACUUAUGAGGGGGUAUUAAAGUACUGCUGGUGUAGAGAUGAAAUUCUGUCAUACCUCUUUUCAAUAGAAAAAUGAUGGCACAGGUAUAGGCGAAGGCAUCCCCUUAUGUGAUAACUGACGUUGAGGGACGAAGGCUUUGUGUAGCGAACAGGAUUAGAUACCCCAGUAGUCGAGGCAGAAAAUGAUGAAUGUCAUAGAUUAGAGGUAAUUUUAUUCUAUAAAUGAAAGUGUAAGCAUUCCACCUCAUGAGUAAUUUGGCAACAUUGGAACUGAAAUCAUUAGACCGUUUCUGAAACCAGUAGUGAAGUAUGUUGUUUAAUUUGAUGAUCCGCAAAAAACCUUACCACAAUUUGAAUAUUUAUAUUUUUUUUUAUUGUUUUCUUCUUAAUUUUUUUC
rnacentral:rRNA from 1 species